rnacentral:rRNA from 1 species
GACGAACGCUGGCGGCGUGCUUAACACAUGCAAGUCGAACGAAGAGCGAUGGAAGCUUGCUUCUAUCAAUCUUAGUGGCGAACGGGUGAGUAACGCGUAAUCAACCUGCCCUUCAGAGGGGGACAACAGUUGGAAACGACUGCUAAUACCGCAUACGAUCUAAUCUCGGCAUCGAGGAUAGAUGAAAGGUGGCCUCUACAUGUAAGCUAUCACUGAAGGAGGGGAUUGCGUCUGAUUAGCUAGUUGGAGGGGUAACGGCCCACCAAGGCGAUGAUCAGUAGCCGGUCUGAGAGGAAGGUCCCCCACAUUGGAACUGAGACACGGUCCAA